ensembl:rRNA 5S_rRNA 5S ribosomal RNA
AUCUAUGGCCCUACUACCCUGAACACACCCGAACUUGAAAGCUAAGCAGGGUCGGACCUGGUUAGCACUUGGAAGGGAGACCUUGUGGGUCCCCUUAAAGAGUCUCAGGAU